CCAGGUUGCUUGGGCAACCUCAGCCUCGGUUUCUUCAUUUGAUAAUAAGGGAAUCAGUGAAAUGGCGCUCACAAAUGGAAAUGCUGACCACAAGUGAGUGUUAGGUGGGGGGCGGGGGGGAGCUUGUGUGCUCCCUUGGCCUUCUCUAAGGAUUUGGCAGGUGGGUGCUGUCUGACACGGGAGGAGAUGGAUGCUCAGAGAGGUUAAGUGACCUAUCCUUGGUCACUCAGCUGGUAAGUGUCAGCACUGGGACCUGAAGUCAGGUCUGUGACCCCACAGUGUGUCCCCUCCUCUAACUUCCUAUUGUUUCUCAGGGUCUCCAAGAGCCCCACCACCUCUUCUGUGGUUCAGGGGGCCUGCUGGAGAGAAGAGAUUCACAGAAGCCAGGAAGGUCCUUGCACACGGCCAAGACGGGAAGGAAAGAGUCAGCUGACAGGCCGAGAGGGACCCCACAUACAAAAGGGGACAGGUGUGCUGCAGGGGGUACGUACCCUGUGCCAAGCACCGGAAGGCCAUCCAAGGGGGUGACGUUUGACGACGUUGGCCUGUGGAGUUCAGCCUCUCUGCCCAGGUGGAGGAAAUGCCAGCCCGGGGAGGCCAGGGCUCCUCUCCUCCCUGUUGCUAGAGAGUAUGGUGUAUGUGGAGCAGCCAAGGGACAGCAGCGGCCGGGAGGGCCGAGAAGCAUCUGCUGUCCCCAGGAUGAUGUGUGCCUGGCCAUUGGAGCCCCAAGGUCAGCUCUGUGCCCUUCCCUGGAGCUGCCAGCGACCCGCAGAGCCCACGCUCUUCAUGGAAAGCCC
rnacentral:lncRNA from 1 species